GACGAACGCUGGCGGCGUGCUUAACACAUGCAAGUCGAACGGUGAAGCUCCAGCUUGCUGGAGUGGAUCAGUGGCGAACGGGUGAGUAACACGUGAGCAACCUGCCCCUGACUCUGGAAUAAGCGCUGGAAACGGCGUCUAAUACUGGAUACGAGAAGGGUCCGCAUGGGCACUUUCUGGAAAGUUUUUCGGUUGGGGAUGGGCUCGCGGCCUAUCAGCUUGUUGGUGAGGUAAUGGCUCACCAAGGCGACGACGGGUAGCCGGCCUGAGAGGGCGACCGGCCACACUGGGACUGAGACACGGCCCAGACACCUACGGGAGGCAGCAGUGGGGAAUAUUGCACAAUGGGCGAAAGCCUGAUGCAGCGACGCCGCGUGGGGGAUGACGGCCUUCGGGUUGUAAACCUUUUUCAGCAGGGAAGAAGCGAAAGUGACGGUACCUGCAGAAGAAGCACCGGCUAACUACGUG
rnacentral:rRNA from 1 species